UAGGGAAUCUUCGGCAAUGGACGAAAGUCUGACCGAGCAACGCCGCGUGAGUGAAGAAGGUUUUCGGAUCGUAAAACUCUGUUGUUAGAGAAGAACAAGGACGUUAGUAACUGAACGUCCCUUGACGGUAUCUAACCAGAAAGCCACGGCUAACUACGUGCCAGCAGCCGCGGUAAUACGUAGGUGGCAAGCGUUGUCCGGAUUUGUUGGGCGUAAAGCGGGCACAGGCGGUUUCUUAAGUCUGAUGUGAAAGCCCCCGGGUCAACCGGGGAGGGUCAUUGGAAACUGGGAGACUAACGUGCAGAAGAGGAGGAUGGAAUUCCAUGUGUAGCGGUGAAAUGCGUAGAUAUAGGGAGGAACACCAGUGGCGAAGGCGGCUCUCUGGUCUGUAACAGACGCUGAGGCUCGAAAGCGUGGGGAGCAAACAGG
rnacentral:rRNA from 1 species